GUCCAGGAAUGGGAAUCGAACCCACAGUGUUCCGCUUACCGGGCAGAUGCCAUGUCCACUAAGCUACCCUGGA